AUCUGCCUCCGGGUUGGGGAUAACUGUCCGAAAGGAUGGCUAAUACCGAAUGAGAUGGUGGUUGCAUAAGCAGCAGCCAUUAAAGGUGGGGACCGCAAGGCCUACUGCCUGGAGAUGAGUCCGCGGCUGAUUAGCUUGUUGGUGGGGUAACGGCCUACCAAGGCGACGAUCAGUAGCCGGCCUGAGAGGGUGAACGGCCACAUUGGGACUGAGAUACGGCCCAGACUCCUACGGGAGGCAGCAGUUAAGAAUCUUGCACAAUGGGCGCAAGCCUGAUGCAGCGACGCCGCGUGAAUGAUGAAGGCUUUAGGGUUGUAAAGUUCAGUAAGCAGGGAAGAAUAAGCGCCGGGUAAUAUUCGGUGUGAUGACGGUACCUGCCUAAAGCCCCGGCUAACUACGUGCCAGCAGCCGCGGUAAUACGUAUGGGGCGAGCGUUGUUCGGAAUUAUUGGGCGUAAAGGGCGUCUAGGCGGGAAAUUAAGUUAGGUGUGAAAGCUAUGGGCUCAACCCAUAAACUGCAUCUAAAACUGAUUUUCUUGAGUUCGGGAGAGGAGAGCGGAAUUCCAGGUGUAGCGGUGAAAUGCGUAGAUAUCUGGAAGAACACCAGUGGCGAAGGCGGCUCUCUGGCCUAGAACUGACGCUGAAGCGCGAAAGCGUGGGGAGCGAACAGGAUUAGAUACCCUGAUAGUCCACGCUGUAAACGUU
rnacentral:rRNA from 1 species